rnacentral:rRNA from 1 species
AAUACUGCACGAAGGGGUAAACCCUGAUGCACCGACGCCGCGUGAUUGAUGACGUCUUUCGGUAUGCAACGCUUUAGCAGCAGGGACGAAAAUGUCGGUACCUGUCUAAGAAGUCUCUGCUAACUACCUCCCAGCAGCCGCGGUAAUACGUAGGGGGCAAACCUUAUCCGGAUUUACUGGGUUUAAAGGGGGCGUCGGUGGUUCGGUAAGUCAGGUGUGAGAGCCCGGGGCUCAACCCCGGGAUUGCACUUGAAACUUUCGGACUUGAGUGCAGGAGAGGUAAGUGGAAUUCCUAGUGUAGAGGUGAAAUGCGUAGAUAUUAGGAGGAACACCAGUGGCGAAGGCGGCUUACUGGACUGUGACUGACACUGAGGCUCGAAAGCGUGGAGAGCAAACAGG